rnacentral:pre_miRNA from 12 species
CCGACCUGUGGCACUCAAACUGUGGGGGCACUUUCUGUUAUGUGACGAAAGUGCCGCUACUUUUUGAGUGUUACCGAUUGA